AUGCACGCUGGCGGCGUGCUUCACCCCUGCAAGUCGCACGAUGAAGCCCAGCUUGCUGGGUGGAUUAGUGGCGAACGGGUGAGUAACACGUGAGUAACCUGCCCUUAACUCUGGGAUAAGCCUGGGAAACUGGGUCUAAUACCGGAUAGGAGCGUCCACCGCAUGGUGGGUGUUGGAAAGAUUUAUCGGUUUUGGAUGGACUCGCGGCCUAUCAGCUUGUUGGUGAGGUAAUGGCUCACCAAGGCGACGACGGGUAGCCGGCCUGAGAGGGUGACCGGCCACACUGGGACUGAGAGACGGCCCAGACUCCUACGGGAGGCAGCAGUGGGGAAUAUUGCACAAUGGGCGCAAGCCUGAUGCAGCGACGCCGCGUGAGGGAUGACGGCCUUCGGGUUGUAAACCUCUUUCAGUAGGGAAGAAGCGAAAGUGACGGUACCUGCAGAAGAAGCACCGGCUAACUACGUG
rnacentral:rRNA from 1 species